UGCAGUCGAGCGGACUGAUGGGAGCUUGCUCCCUGAAGUCAGCGGCGGACGGGUGAGUAACACGUGGGUAACCUGCCUGUAAGACUGGGAUAACUCCGGGAAACCGGGGCUAAUACCGGAUAGGUCUUUUCCUCGCAUGAGGAAGAGUGGAAAGGCGGCUUCGGCUGCCACUUACAGAUGGACCCGCGGCGCAUUAGCUAGUUGGUGAGGUAACGGCUCACCAAGGCGACGAUGCGUAGCCGACCUGAGAGGGUGAUCGGCCACACUGGGACUGAGACACGGCCCAGACUCCUACGGGAGGCAGCAGUAGGGAAUCUUCCGCAAUGGACGAAAGUCUGACGGAGCAACGCCGCGUGAGUGAUGAAGGUUUUCGGAUCGUAAAGCUCUGUUGUUAGGGAAGAACAAGUGCCGUUCGAAUAGGGCGGCACCUUGACGGUACCUAACCAGAAAGCCACGGCUAACUACGUGCCAGCAGCCGCGGUAAUACGUAGGUGGCAAGCGUUGUCCGGAAUUAUUGGGCGUAAAGCGCGCGCAGGCGGUCUCUUAAGUCUGAUGUGAAAGCCCACGGCUCAACCGUGGAGGGUCAUUGGAAACUGGGGGACUUGAGUACAGAAGAGGAAAGUGGAAUUCCACGUGUAGCGGUGAAAUGCGUAGAUAUGUGGAGGAACACCAGUGGCGAAGGCGACUUUCUGGUCUGUAACUGACGCUGAGGCGCGAA
rnacentral:rRNA from 2 species